rnacentral:rRNA from 1 species
AUACGUAGGUGGCAAGCGUUAUCCGGAUUUAUUGGGUGUAAAGGGUGAGUAGGCGGGCCUGUAAGUCAGAUGUGAAAUGCAGCUGCUCAACAGCUGAAUUGCAUUUGAAACUGCGGGUCUUGAGAGUCGGAGAGGUAAGUGGAAUUCCCAGUGUAGCGGUGAAAUGCGUAGAUAUUAGGAGGAACAUCGGUGGCGAAGGCGGCUUACUGGGCCUUUACUGACGCUGAGGCACGAAAGCGUGGGGAGCAAACAGGAUUAGAUGCCCUGGUAGUCCACGCUGUAAACGAUGAUGACUAGGUGUGGGGGGACUGAACCCUUCCGUGCCGCAGUUAACACAAUAAGUCAUCCACCUGGGGAGUACGGCCGCAAGGUUGAAACUCAAAGGAAUUGACGGGG